CUUUUUUCCCUCCUCCUCCUCCAUCGUCACCCCCACCACCCGCCCCUAGCCCCCUCCCAUCCUUUCUUUGCCCUCUUCCGUAUGGUUCUCGAGAGUGCCGUUAAUGUUAUUAGGCUCUGAAAUGUGUCUUGUUCCAGCUAAGGGGAGCGGCAGGAGGAGAGGGGAGCUGCGUCGCUGUGAGAAGGUUGAUGGCAUUAUAAUCACCCGGUGCUGAAGCUGAUCCCACGGCCUCUCACUCAGGUAUACGGUGCACAAUCUGGUUGCAAUCCCUUAACGCACCUGCUAUUUCCGUACCCGCUACCCACUUUAAGCCGUGAAAGAUUAAAGGGUGUAAGGUUUGCUCUCUCUCUCUCUCUUUUAUUCUUUUUUUUUUUUAAUUCGUCCCUCUCCCGCGGCUUAGCAUGCACACGGACAAAAAAAAAGAAACGUUUCCUCUUGACGGUUUACUUUGUUCUGCUCGUUCUUUAGUUGGUUUGGUAGUUGUUUUUUUUUUUUUCCAAAGGGUAGAAAAUUCACACACAAAAAUAAAACGCAAAACUCUCACAAAAAACAACAACUACCAAAAUAUAUAACCUAUUUAUGAUUUUUUUUUCUUUACAAAUACGAGUUGUUUGGGGGAUAAGUAAUUUCUCACACACAAAAAAAUAAAUAAACGCAAAGCUCCCACAAAAAAAAAAACUAACAAAAUAUACAACCUAUUUAUGAUUUCAUUUUUUCUUUACAAAUACGAGUUGUUUGGGGGAUAAGUAAUUUCUCACACACAAAAAAAUUAAACACAAAACUCCCACAAAACAACUUACAAAAUAUACAACCUAUUUAUGAUUUCAUUUUUUUCUUUACAAAUACGAGUUGUUUGGGGGAGGAGUAAUUUCUCUGUUACUAUUUAUGUUUGUCUCGUAUAUAUUGUAGUAAGUCGUUAUUACUAAACAAAAUCUGGAAUCUCACACCAGCUUGGAUCUCACACAGCAAAGAGGACACCUGCAAAUCCAGCAAAAACAUGAACUGGUUACAAAUCCUUCUCGCACACAAUCCUGUCACCGCCGUCUGUGCCGUGUCAUAUUUAUUCACCUAUUUUCUUUUUCUUUUACAGCAAGGGGCGCAGCUCAGGGCAUAAAGCAAACACAACAACAAAAAACCCUGCUAGACGCUGCUCCAACAAAAGACAAAAGAACGAGAGGACAUAUAAGGGAAAACAGAACAACCGUAUAUGAUAAACAUGGUAAGGUGCCGUGUCAUUUCAAACUAUACGCCUUGGCACAGAAACCAAAGCCACAGCCGUACAUGACAAUCAGGUUACUUCUUAUACCCACACAACUUCCCUGCCUGUACCGUGUCACAUUAAACUCUACGCCAUGACACAUAAGAUAAACAAGUGCCACCGUACAUACCAAAUAGGUUACUCCCUAGACGCCGUGACACACAUGGGAAGCUAUAGCCACCGUAUGAUACCCGUGUCAAAAUAUAUCCACUGUAGAAGUAUGAAGCCCUGAAGGGUAUGACACGUUCAACUGAGAUAAAUCUAACCCCUAGCGAAGUGUAUCCAUGCAAAUAAUAACCCACACCUUUUAACUUUUAACAUAUAGCGUUUAAACGAGUAUCGGCGCGGGUUCCGUAUGACCUGCGUGACUGACGAGGUGGACAUAAAUAAACUACUUACCACAUGAUCUUACUCUCGUUGCCACACCCUACACUAUGCAAGACAACCCAGGACCCAGACUUUCAAUCAUCUCGGGGCUUUCGUAGAGGCUGUGGGCACUUCCAUGGAUAGUUCCAUGAGCCUAGUGAUGGUUUGACAAGGCUUCUUCACCACGAAUGACGAAAAACACUCAUCAGAACUCGACUAAUCUCCUUUGUGGUCUUUGGAAAUAAUGGUUGUGAGAAAGUCGAUAGCGUUUGAGAAUAGGGGACCAGUCACGUAGAUAUGGUUAGGGUUAGCUGUGGUCUUGCGGCGUGGGCUGCGGCAACGGGGGUACGAUAAAUAAGGUAAAAAAGUGUCAAGCUGUGUACGCCUUCCCCGCCACCCAGAGGUAAUAUGGAAUUAGCCUGAGCAGCCCUGCGUGUUCCAUUAAUUAGUGUAAUCUCUUUAGUGGCGGAGACGGAGGUGACAGGAUUAUGUGAGAAGAGGAAUUAACUCGUUUGUAUUUUUUUUUUUCACAGCUCUGGAGUCCAUUUUUAUGAGAUACAAUCGGCUUUUCUGAGAGUUACGUUAUUUCGUCGUAAUGCUUUAUUCAAAUUAGUCUUCCAAAUAUGUCGAGUCCGGUCUGGUGUAGGCUCCGCGGGUCCUUUCCUCCCCUCUGGUCUGCCACACAGUCCCAACACCUAUCUCUUCCUCUCAUAUGUAAGCUAUAGGUAACAUAUGAGAGGAAAAAGUAGGUGUUGGGACUGUGUGGCGGAGCAGAGGCGAGAAAUGGACCCGCGGGAGCCAACGCCCAAACAGACUCGACAAUUUGGUUUCACAGUUAAGAAUGAGAUAAAUUUAUAAACAAGUAACAAACCAUUUAACGAACCGAAUCACCGGACCGAUCACUCUGUAGACAAAUGAGAAAUAGAAAUGCAGUAAGACUCAAACCCAACUCGGUCUUCCUACCCUUCCGUUUGUGCGCCCUUCCAUGCAUAAAGUUACCUCCAAUGUGGACUGAGGCUAACCAACUUGUGUGCCACGACCCUCUCCCUCUCCCUCUCCCUCUCUCUCUCUCUCUCUCUCUCUCUCUCUCUGACACGCUCCUUAUCUUUACCCUUUUCAUUUUUCACGCACCCUCUCGCUCACCCUCUGUCCCCUUCCCGUUCCCCUUUCUUAUCUCUCUCCGUCAACCUCCCCGGGAAAGAAGGGAAUUUAAUCCACCCUCGGCUAUGUAAAUUUGGGACACGCAAUAUUUUUCUGUCCGUUUUGAUUACUUUGGCUGCAGGAGGAUGCAUUAGUGCGGAAGGGAAGCGGCCGGAGGGAAUAAAUAUGAAAAGAGGAUGGUUUGUAUAAGAGAGAGAGAGAGAGAGAGAGAGAGAGAGAGAGAGAGAGAGAGAGAGAGAGAGAGAGAGAGAGAGAGAGAGUCGGGGGAGGGGAAAAAGAGCUAAAGAGAAAAGAAAACCACUGAGCUGUGCGAAAUCGCUUAAAACACACACAGGAAGGAAAACUCAACCAACGAGUGUAAAAUAUUAAUAAGGUCAGAAUUAAUUAGGUAUUGACGAUCACACCGAAGAGGAUGUAUUAGGAAAAACAGGGAGAAAGAAACACAGACGCUGGGAGAAACACAGAAACACACAGGGAAAGGGAAACAGAUACAGGGAGAGGGAAGCAGACACACAGGGAGAGGGAACAGAUAGGGAGAGAGAAAAAGGCACACAGGGAGAGGGAAGAGGGAGAGGAAGAAGCAUUUAUAUAAACACACAGAGAGAAACAGACAGAUGGGGAGGGAGAGACACAGACACAAGGAGACACAGGGAGAGGGAGAGGAAACAAAUAAGAGAGAGAGAGAGAGAGAGAGAGAGAGAGAGAGAGAGAGAGAGAGAGAGAGAGAGAGAGAGAGAGAGAGAGUGUAGCACAGAAAGAGACAAGGGGACAAAGACAAAAAGAGGGAGUGGGAGUUUUUGAGAGGAUGACAGAAAAGACAACAAGAGGGGGGGGGGGGCGAGGAGGAGGAGGGUCUACAGUAAAAGAGAAGGAUCAAGGCUCAAGGACAUCUCCCCUCAUACCCCCCCCCACAAAAAAAAAAAAAAAUGAGAGGGAGGGUUUGGCUUCUGCAAGAGGACUUGGAAAAUAUUCAACUAAAAAAAAGGAGAAAGCAAAAAGAACGAAAGGAAAACUCCGACUGAGCUCUUAAAGGUGCCUUGAGACUCCGAAAUAAAGUCCAGGUACGGUGAAAACACAGACAGACAGACUUCUCAAACCGCUGCCCCGUGAAAGUGAUGAAGGAGUGAAGAUACAAGCUAACCCAUGCAUUAGUGAGAUGAACAGUAUAUGGGUCAGAGUUCACAGCGUCUAUUGCAACAACUACCUGGGAUCGUGAUAAACUAAAAUCAUCAAGAAUCUUAAAAAAAUAGAUAAAAAUGAAAAGGAGGUAUAAAGACAGCCAAGGAAAUAAAUAAAGAGUGUAGUGGGAGGAGGAAGCCCGUAAGUUAUAUGAGAGGACACGACGGGGCAAAGAAGAGAGAAACGGGAGGACAAUGGAGAGAGAGAGAGAGAGAGAGAGAGAGAGAGAAUAAUUGCAGGAGGGAGAGAAGAAAAGCGAGGGAGGAAGGGGAAGCCAUAGAGUCAUAAAGAAGGAGUAAAUAUGGGCGGUGUGAUGGGGCAUUCGGGCUUUUUCCCAUCCUCACUCUCAUCCUCUACCACCACCACCACCACCACCACCACUGCCCCUGUAUAUCGUUACCACCACCACUACCACCGCCGCCGCCGCCGCCAUCACGUUGCCUCAUCAAAAUUUAUGGACGCUAUGUGCCUCACCCUCGCCAAUACACCAAGUUCUCCAUUACCACAGUCCUCUCCUUAUUCCCUUCCGCCUUCACCUCUUCUUCUCCUCUUCCGCCGGUCGUAGUUAGUUGCCCCGCCCUGUCUUAGAUCAGCCCCGCCGCCACCCCUGCCUUGCUUGUCUCAUAUCACACACACACACACACACACACACACACACACACACAUAGACGUGAGGUAGUAUACAAAUGAGACCGCUUCAACACCACCACCACCACCAUCACCACCGCCAAUGACGCAACUUCCACCACCACCACGACCAGCAUCACUACCACUAACAGCAUCACCCUGACCACCACCACCAAACAGCAUCACCACCGUCAUUAUCUUCAUCACCACCACCACCAACAACAACAACAACAGCAUCACCACCGUCAGUAUCUUCAUUGCCACCAUCACACUACCAUCACCACUACCACCAUAAAAAAAAAAUCACUGUAAACAAACACACUGCUUUUAAUGUAUACAGUAAAUCAUCGUUAUAAUAAUUUGUUAGUGCUCGUAAUAAUAAUAAUAAUAAUAAUAAUAAUAAUAAUAAUAAUAAUAAUAAUAAUAAUAAUAAUAAUAAUAAUAAAAACAAUAAUAAAAUAAUAACAACAACCACUUUUUUUCUUAUUAUUAUUAUUACUGUCAUCAUAAGUAUUAAUAUCAUUGCUUAUGUUGGGAAGUUCUCAGUAAUCAAUCAAUCAAUCAAUCAAUCUCUCUCUCUCUCUCUCUCUCUCUCUCUCUCUCUCUCUCCCAGCACACACAUAACCCUGACAUGCGGGGAUCACUUUCUUCCCGCACUAAACCGCUGUCCGCCUGCCUGCCUGCCUACCUGCCUGCCCUCAGCCGCCCUUUGACGCUGCCCUUCAUCCCCUUCUUUCAAAGCCGUAAUCCCCGUCUGCUCUACACACAGCGGACGACCCGUGUCACAAAAACCUCAACAUUCAGUAAAAUCCUCCCUCUCGCCAGAAAAAUUAAGCUGUCCCACUGGCAUUUUUACUCUCUCUCUCUCUCUCUCUCUCUCUCUCUCUCUCUCUCUCUCUCUCUCUCUCUCUCUCUCGGUGGCGUAGCAACCAUGUAAGCUCUGCCUCUCAUCACUGCAAAAUUCUGUACAUUUUUCAUAUAUUUUUCUCGUUUCUUUAAUAAACCGAUUACAAACACACACACACACACACACACACACACACACACACACACACACACACUGACUGACUGACUGUAUAUCGAAGUCCUUUCUUCCUUCCUAACUGAAACCCUUUGUUCCUUCCUUCCCGAUCCUCACACGAGACAACGGGAAGGAUUGGACUAGCCUGGUCUGGAGAGGUUGGGCUUAACUCACCACCACUACCACCACCACCCUCACCACCACUACCACCACCACCCUCACCACCAUCAGCCUCCCCAGUCUUCCAAUAGCGGAUCAAUCUUACGCGGCAGGGGAGGAGGAGGAGGGGCAACAGUUGAAACAUUAACGACGUUGAAGUUGCGGUCUUGUCUGCCAAACUGUAGUUAGUCUGUGCUAAUACCCGCUAUCCGUCUUCCGCCCCCUUUCUCCUCCUUCUCCUGAUCACACACACACACACACACACACACACACACACACACACACACAUUCACACCUUCCCAAUAUCUAUAUCCUCAUCUCCUCUUCCUCUUCCUCCUCUUGACAAUGUACACUCACACACACACACACACACACCAUGCCCCCUCCAAUACACAACAUUUCCGCCCAGCGCUGUUCCUCCCUCCCUCCUCGCUCCGUCCCUUCCACGCCAGGAGAGACUAGUGUAUUAUGCAGGCAGGUGGGGCGAGAGCGAGGGGCUGAUGGGGGAAUAAUGGCGGCCUGGGUCACGUCUCCUCGCCCGCUGGAAACUCUGAGGCCGACGGAAGUAGUGGUGGUAGUAGUAGUGGUGGUAGUAGUAGUAGUAGUAGUAGUAGUAGUAGUAGUAGUAGUAGGGUAAAGGGAAGGGCUCAGGUGUCACAAUUACCUAGAGGCGUAUCAACAAAGGUCCGGAAAAAAAUAAAGUCCUCUCUCUCUCUCUCUCUCUCUCUCUCUCUCUCUCUCUCUCUCUUCACUUCAUUCCACUCCCCACCUUUCUUUCUCUUUUCCGCCUCGUGUCCCUCACUCUCCACUUUUUUUGCUUUUCCUUCUCUUCCCUCCUCCCCUGACGGCCAGCCCCUCUCCCUCCAACCAUCCUUUACCUCCUACCCUCCAUUCCUCUCUCCCCUUCCUCCACCCCACGCUUUCUUUCCUCUCUCCCUCUCUCUCUGGUGACGUCGCUUGAGUGUUACUUCCGCAUGUCACACAAAAAGUUCUGGAUCUGAACAAGAAACACACACACACAUUGACGGGCGAGUGCAUGUGUGUGUGUGUGUGUGUGUGUGUGUGUGUGUGUGUGUGUGUGUGUGUGUGUGUGUGUGUGUGUGUGUGUGUGUGUGUGUGUGCGUGAGUAAUGUUUUUAUCGCCCUGUCAACACGAGUCGUAAUUCGUGCAUGUAAAUCUCCACGCCACGGCCGGUAAAUUAUGUCUUAGUGAAGGUGGAGGACUUGGCACCAUCAAUUCGAGUCAACCUGAAGCGCUCUGGUGAAUGCGUAAUAUAUCUCUCUCUCUCUCUCUCUCUCUCUCUCUCUCUCUCUCUCUCUCUCUCUCUCUCUCUCUCUCUCUCUCUCUCUCUCUCUCCACAACCAAACUCACCCGCAGCCUCCACCACCACUGUUACUCCACCCAACUUUUCUCCCGCUCACCACCAUCCCUCCAGACCUUACCUGCCGCGCACCUGCCCUUCCUCAGAGCAGGUGUUGUGGUUCCUGCGCUGCCAACUCACCUGGAAAGACAACAAUAGGCUUUAAAACUUGUGUAAGGAUGAGGGAUAUCUUAAGACUGACACUCAUCCUCAACCUUCCCUUCGCCUGGUUUGAUUCUUCCUACUUUCCUCAGUUUCCUUCUCUCUGGCUCUUUCCUUCUUCACCUUCUUUCUUCCUUUCCUCCUUUCUUCACCAUCUUUUUCCCUAUUUCAGUCACUUUCCUUCACCAUCUUUCUCCCUCCCUCCUUCACUUCUCUCUUCCUACUUCUCACACUUUCCUUCCACCUCCCUUUCUUGCCUUUUCUUUUUUUCGUAUUUCCUUCUCCUUGACCUUCCCUCCUUCACCUUUUUGCUUCAUAUUUCCCUGACGGCGCUUCUCCCUUCCUUUCUACGUCUUCUUUUUUUUUUUUUCGUAGUUCCCUCACAUUCCUUCUCCCUUCCUCAAUCACUUUUCUUCUUCCUAACUCAUUCCUCUUCUUUCUUCCUCCUUCCAUGUCCCUCUCCCUCCCUCUCCUUCCUCCUCCCUUGUUCCUCUCUUUCUCUGUUCCUCAUUUGUAUCUUGUGGUGGUUUCCUAUUACAUGUCUCUGCCUGCUCCUCCCUCAUCCCAUAUACCUGGGACUUACUCCUAAUCAGCUUAGUAAUCAUAAUCCCCCAGAUGCCGCACGUGGCCCAAUUAUGUCUGAUGAUCGCUAAGUCCAUCUAAUUAUUGGUUUCUCAUUAGCGCGAAGUUUCGUUAUUUAUCCGGGCCAGUGAGCCGGAAAGUAAGAGGGAGAAUAAGAAAGGGAGGAAGAACACUUGUUGUCCGCCUCAGACCCGCGACCUUCAUCACUAGGGAGGAAAGUGUGGAUUAUAAAAAGGUGGACUGACUGGCUGACUGACUACCGAAUGCCUCAGUGACUAGUUGGCUCGACGGAUGAAUGGCUGACUAACUGAAUGAAUGAUGACGUGACUGAUUGGAUGACUAGUUGACUGGUUGACUCUACGGCUCAUUGACAUCCAAACUGACUAAUAGACCAGAUAGCUGAAUGACUGGCUUGCUGGCUGACUUGACUAACAGAAGAGCCGAGUGACUGCCUGACUGAUUAACUGAGCAGCUGACUCAUACGAGGUUAUCACUGCCACAACCCCUCACUAACUCUGCCAAGAUCCCCGACUAUAGUCUACGGCCCGCCACUGCCACGUUUAACUUCACUCGCUAGUAGGACCAUCCUCUUUAAUAUGUUUCUUCGUCCAUGAAUUUUCAGUGUGACUCCUCCAAUCAGGUUUCAGUUCACAUCACAAUUAUGGGAAACAAAAAUAAACUAAUAAAUGGAAGAAUGCAUCCUCGAAAACAAGCACAAGGGCGUCACUAAGGUUGAGUGACUUCUCAGAGACAAGCAAAGACGACUACAAAGGAAAAAGAAAGUAAUCAAAGUCUUCCGCAUCUCUAAACCCAUGAUGAGGAAACUUGGCGCCGUUUUGUCCUAACCUAAGCCUAAGAGCUCUCAAACGGGAAGCGUAAGUUCAAUAGAAAAAGAAAAACAGGAAAACGAAAACAAAUUAUAUAUGUUGAUAACGAGUCUGACAAUCAUUCAGGGACGGGAUGUGGACAACUGAUGGCGCUCAGAAAAGAGAAGAAAGAGCUGGAGGAGGAUCAGGUUGACAGAGUGGAAGCCUCGGGGCAGGAAUGGGACCAACGGUUGACCGAGAGGAAAAAGUGAGAGACGAGAUGAGAAAAUUCGCCUCAGUGAACACAGAAUCAAGGAGCACCAGACGGGGGACUCGAGGAAGCCGGAAGUUUAGUGUCCGGCUUUCAGAUUUGAGUCAGGGGAAUUGUUGCAACAUUUUCACGCUCUAAAUGAAGAAGCAAAAACUUAUACACACCUAAAUACAAAUAAAUACGUCAUAAAGGUACACCAACAUAUAUAUAAACAAAUUCAUAAGGGCAAAUAAGCAUAAAUACAGAUAAAGCCAUGGAAAAAGGUUAAGAAAGAAAGGAAAGGAAACGACACAACUUCUUACGCUUUCCUCUUCCACUUGCCAACAAAAUUGACACAUCGUACAUUCGUAAAGAGUUAGGAUUGGCAAGCAAAACGCAAAACUUUUUCCCCGUGUAAUGAGGCCAUGAAUAUUGAUGACGUUCGUGGCAAACAGCCAACACACACACACACACACACACACACACACACACACACACACACACACACACACA